rnacentral:tRNA from 1 species
GGAGGGAUGGCAGAGCGGACGAUUGCGACGGUCUUGAAAACCGUUGAGCCUUACGGCUCCGGGGGUUCGAAUCCCCCUCCCUCCGCCA